AGUGGGGGCAGCCAGCUGCCAUGUAACAAGUCCAACUAGCCUGAGCCCAUUGUGCUAGAGAGGUUGCAGUUGGGCACUCCAGUAGACAGUCCCAACUGAGCCCAGCUUUCCAGCCAUCCCUGCCAAGGCACCAGACAUAUGAAUAACCCCACCUGUGACUCUCUAGACCAGGCCAUCUGCCAGCUGAACACCACAGAGUGACCUCACUGAUGCCUUUGGAGCAAGAAGAGGAGGGUAAAAGAAUUACUCGGUCAAGCCUGAUGGAAUUCUUGAUGUAUAUAACCUAUAAAAUAUAGUAAAAAAGGUUUUAGAGAAUUAAGUGCAUGCCCAUAUACAGGCUUGGGCCCUGGGGACCUGUGGUCGGCAGUCAGCCCCACCUUCUGUUUGCAGGUGUUAUAAGUCAUGGUAUAGCUCAAUAGAAAAUCCAUGUUUAGUUCAGUGUGCAAACAGGAACUGAUUCUAUUUGAAAAGGGGAAUUAAAACACCCCACAUGGGUACCACAGUGCAAAGGAGAAGGUUAAUAGUGGAAAAAGAUGAUGCCAAAGCACAUGGUCCCAGAAUGCUCAGCCCAGAGAGACAAAGAGUUGUAUCUUUCACAGCCAUUUUCAUAAUAAAUUAGAUAGCAUAUUCCCAGUAUACUGAAGUAAAGUUUUUCUGUCCAAAAUCCCUUCUGGACAUAGAAAGGCACAUGAGUCUCAUUUUUGUGCUGGAGUUCUGAAAGUUAGAGCUGGGCAUGGAGAGGGCAUGGGUGUGUCAGUGUGUAUGGAAUAUUGUAUUGCCAAAGAUAGCUUCAGCAAUAUCUCCUCUCUCACUUGCCACUUUUCCAUCAAGAGGGGAGUCUGUUCUCUCUCCCUUUGAAUCUGUGCCGAACUUGUGAUUCUUUUGAGCAAUGAAACAUGGUGAAAUGUAUGUUCUGGGACUUUGAGAAGCCUGGCGGCUUCUGCUAUUGCUCUCUGGAGGAAGUCAGCUUCCAUGGAAGAAGUCCAACUCUCUUAGAAUGGCCAUGCCACGAGAAGCCCAACCUUGCCAUAUGGAGAGACCUCGGGGAGGGGAACUCAAGCCCCCAGCUGACAGCCCUGGCUGGAUCACAGCCGCCAGCCAACACCAACUUGCCAACAACCAGGGGCCUCUGGAGACUGUAAUUCUGAAAGGCAAAGGAAUAUAACUUCAAGUAGAGGAAGACAGCAUGACUCAAGUAACUCCACAUUUGACUUAUCUGAAGACUUAUGUUGCCCGUUAGCUAAAGGUGUGGAUAAACUCUGGAAAUGGAAGGAGAAUUGUAUCUCAUUAGUGAUGUUUGAGAAAAGCAGAAGUUCUCAAGGCAUCCAGAAAGGUACCUGUGGAAAUUCUACCUCUGUCUGUGAAAAUUGGCACCAAUAUUUCCUACUGGGCUCUUCAGCUGUCAUGAAUUGUUUCCUCUUGGAUUUUAAAAAAUAUACAUUGGGAGCUUUACUCUUCUUUGCCCUCCAGAGUAGGUAAAAUCCCUAAUAGCUUGAAGCCCAAGAUUUGUGGACAUAUGUUUUAUGAGGGCAGGGGCCGUGCCUGUCUUCCCAGCUGCCUCCUGAGGACCGCGGACAAAGCCUGAGACAGAGAAGGAUACAAUAGCGACUGAUAAUCACUUAUUUUACUAAGCGUUUACAGUGUGAAAGGGCUUGUUCAAAGUACCUUAAAUGUACUCCAAGCAUCUAAUACAUCCUUACAACAUGCUGGUGAGGUAGGUAAAUUUUUUAUCCCUAUUUUAUAGAUUUAAAAAGCUGGGACACAGGGAGAUUAAGUCACUUACUCAAGUUUGCACAAAUGGCAAAUUGUGAAGCCAGCCGUGAACUCAGACUGCCUGUGUCCAUAUUCUGAUGCUUUGGUAGCUGCUGUAUAAAUGGAAGGUAGCUAGAGGAAGGGAGGCAGGGAGGCAAGCGUCAGUCACUUCGAGUAUUUUUCUUCCCCCUUGGCAAGAGGAUGCUGCAGAGGUCAAUAAUUCCCUCUGAAUUCAGGUGGGGUCCCUUUGAAAAUGAGCGACAGAUAAUUUUGUGUUUCUCUAUCACAGUAAUAGGAAUUUGACUCCCGGCACCCCCAUUUCAACCCCUUACACUGGAUGAGUUAUCUGUGGUCAGCCUUGCAUUUUUUUUUUAGCUUUCCUUUGGAGCUAUAUCAGGUAACAAGCUGGUCGGUGAAGCAGUUUCCCUAAGAGGCUGCGCCCUUUCCUGAACACUAGAGGGCAGUAUUUCAACAGGCCUGAGGAUUUUGAACGCAUCAUUAAGUAUGCUUUCAUUACUUUCAGAAAAAAAAAAAAAGCCUGUUGGACUGAUUGUUUCAGUUCAAGAAUUUGAGAGUCCAGGGUAGGAUUCAUUUUAAUGACUCCAGGGAACCGAUCAAAUUAAACACAUUAUCCAGGAUUUUCUUCCCUGGCCUCCUCUCACCCGCCUUCUCAGCGCUUCUGUCUGCGCUGCGUGAGUCGCAGCCCUGGGCCCCGAAUCGUCUCCCUUGCACAGAAGCAGCCCUUGCCGAAGAACCCAGGGCCAGAAAAGGCCUCAGCAGCUUGUCUUGGCACAGAUCCUCCAAGAUCACCUUCCAGCAAGACAAACUUAAGAACCGUUGAAGGCUGUGUGCCUAGCCAGCAUGCCUGCAGCUGGACAGGAUGGCCCUUGGCAGGGAAAAACCAACCCAGUCCUGGCGGCUGCCACAUCCCUGAAGACCUAGAGCUCCACCCUCAGCUGGGAGCUUUACGUAUGUGAUCUCUAAUCUUCUCAAAAACCUUGCAAGAAAAAUAGUUAUACCAUUUUGCAGACAAAGAAACAAAUACAGAGAGGUUAAAAAAAUGUGCCCAAGGUCACAAAGCUAAUAAGUACAGAACUGGAACUCACAUCACAAUGUCCCGCCCCAGAGCCUAGGAUACACAUGCCGAUAGUCACUGCCUCUCCCGCUCUUAUCCCUUAAAUUCCCACUAUAGUUGGCCAGAAUAUGAAGUAGACACACUGCAUGAUUUCCCUUGAAGGGAGGAUGGACAGAGACACAGGCCUCUACUUUGGACCUCGUGAGUGUAAACUUCAAAGUUUUAUUCAUCCUCCAUCCCCUGCAGGUCCUGGAAUAAACUGACAUUUAAUGGUUGCUCAGUGCUGUAAAGAUGAACUUCAUUUAAUUUAAUACUAUUCUGUAUCUCCUUGGGUUAUUUGACAGAUUUACUGAUCAUUGUGAAGAAGUUUGUUUCUGCUUCACUUUUAUAUAGGAGCUGUUUCUUCUCAGCUUCUUGUUAAAACACCCUUAGAAACCUGUAAGUAAAUGUUGUAAUUGCAUUCUUAGCUUUAUUCACACUGAUAAGAGAUAUAAGUGAUUUUUAAAAGGCAGAACUAACUAGUCAAUCAAAACAAGCAGCUGUAAUCUGAUUUUAGAGCAAUCUGCAUGAUAAGAGUUGGCCAAGGAGAAAUAAUUUCCUAUCACAGUGGGAUAACGUGCAAAUACAAUAUAAACUCCAGGCUCCCUCACAUCACAGAAUGUCUGAGAAAUGCCAAGCAGAAUGUGUUUAUGAAUGGGAAAGCCAAUGGUGUUAUAUUUUCUCUCAGGUUAUUCUCAAUCUCAUUUUCAGAAGGGACAAAAUAGCUCUAAACAUUUCUAAAUAUUUUACUCCAUAUGGUCCAAAUCUCAAGCUUAAAAAUAUCUACCAACUGUCCACAGAAAAGGUGUUUUAAAGAAAAAUAAAGAAUCAAUUUAAUUGGAAA